rnacentral:rRNA from 1 species
AUGAACGCUGACAGAAUGCUUAACACAUGCAAGUCUUUGGCGAAGCUGUGCUUGCACAGCCUAGCCAAGGCGGACGGGUGAGUAACGCGUAAGGAACUUGCCCUGCAGUCAGGGAUAACAGACGGAAACGACUGAUAAGACCUGGUAAAGUCAGGCGGACUCAUGUCCAGCCUGAUGAAAAGAGAUGCUGCAGGAGAGCCUUGCGUCCUAUUAGCUUGUUGGUGGGGUAACGGCCCACCAAGGCGAUGAUAGGUAGCCGGCCUGAGAGGGUGGACGGCCACAAGGGGACUGAGAUACGGCCCUUACUCCUACGGGAGGCAGCAGUGGGGAAUAUUGGACAAUGGGGGCAACCCUGAUCCAGCAAUUCUGUGUGCACGAUGAAGGUUUUCGGAUUGUAAAGUGCUUUCAGCAGGGAAGAAAAAAUGACGGUACCUGCAGAAGAGGCGACGGCUAAAUACGUG